CAUGAGGCUAGACCGGGGAGCCCGUCCUUCCCUGUAACCUUAAACGGACGUAAGAGGGGGUCGAAGCCAGAAGAGCGAUAUGAUUGUCCAAUGGCAGUCUUGUCUCCUACAAUGAGGUCCUGUCCUGAUCGACUGAUCUUUUUGAGAACCACGUCAGGUCUGGAAGGAAGCAGCGUUAAUCAUAUAGGUUGGUGCUUUCAGGGUAGCGGGAUUAAGGACGAGGCAAGGUAAGCUGUUAUUGAUUAUUGUAUCCAUCUUUUGGCGUGCCUCAUU
rnacentral:SRP_RNA from 2 species